rnacentral:rRNA from 1 species
ACGGCUCAGUAACACGUGGAUAACCUGCCCAAGGGUCUGGGAUAACCCCGGGGAACUGGGGAUAAUACCGGAUGGAUCACUAGUGCUGGAAUGCUUGGUGGUCGAAAGGCAACGCCUUUGGAUGGGUCUGCGGCGGAUUAGGUUGACGCCGGUGUAACGUACCGGCGUGCCUGUAAUCCGUACGGGUUGUGGGAGCAAGAGCCCGGAGAUGGAUUCUGAGACACGAAUCCAGGCCCUACGGGGCGCAGCAGGCGCGAAAACUCUACAAUGCAGGCAACUGCGAUAGGGGGACAUCGAGUGGCAUCCACCUUGGGUGCCUGUCCAACCGUCUAAAAAACGGUUGUUAGCAAGGGCCGGGUAAGACCGGUGCCAGCCGCCGCGGUAAUACCGGCGGCUCGAGUGGUGGCCGAUAUUAUUGAGUCUAAAGGGUCCGUAGCCGGCUUUGCAAGUCCCCUGGGAAAUCCAGCGGCUUAACCGUUGGGCUUUCAUGGGAUACUACAUUGCUUGGGACUGGGAGAGGUAGGAGGUACUCGGGGGGUAGGGGUGAAAUCCUGUAAUCCUCCGGGGACCACCGGUGGCAAAGGCGUCCUACCAGAACAGGUCCGACGGUGAGGGACGAAAGCUAGGGGCACGAACCGGAUUAGAUACCCGGGUAGUCCUAGCCGUAAACGAUGCCCGCUAGGUGUCACGACGGUCGUGAAUCGUCGUGGUGCCGUAGGGAAGCCGCGAAGCGGGCCACUUGGGAAGUACGGCCGCAAGGCUGAAACUUAAAGGAAUUGGCGGGGGAGCAC